rnacentral:rRNA from 1 species
UCUGGAGGGAGACUAUGUGUGUCUGUGCGGGACUACUACUGCUACAAAUUUCAGAUGCGUCCCGGGAUAUUCAACCCAAUCCUCUAUGGUAAGCGUCUUUUCCAACAGUUUGCAGUAGACACAUACAUCAAGAUAGAGAACUCCCGGUUGGACUAUAUAUGGGGCCAUCAAGAUACGAUAAGGGCGGACCUAUACCAGGGCUUGGUGGACAGCUUACAUGUUGGUGAGGGUAGGGCAGAUGCUAUUGGAAAAGUGUUAUCUACAUCUUUUAUAAGUGGUCCACGGGACAAGAGGCGUCGCUACAUGGAUGCCAUGGCCUUAGUUCUAAAGUAUGGCAAGCCGGACGUCUUCCUCACAAUGACAUGCAACCCAAACUGGGAUGAGAUUAGGCAGGAACUCUACCCCGGUCAGACACCUCAGGAUCGUCCCGAUCUCGUUGUUCGUGUUUUUAGGGCAAAGUUGGAGGAACUCAAGAAUAAGUUGCUUCAGAAGGACAUCCUGGGCAAGGUGAGGGCUUAUGUUUAUGUGGUGGAAUUCCAGAAGAGGGGUCUGCCUCAUGCACACUUCCUUCUCAUCAUGGAGGGGCGGUACAAGCUCACAUGCCCUGAGCAAUAUGACCGUCUUAUCUCAGCCGAGCUCCCAAACAAGAAGAAGUACCCAUAA